rnacentral:rRNA from 1 species
GAGUUUGAUCUUGGCUCAGGAUGAACGCUAGCGGCAGGCCUAACACAUGCAAGUCGAGGGGUAGAGUUAGCUUGCUAACUUGAGACCGGCGCACGGGUGCGUAACGCGUAUGCAAUCUACCUUGUACAGGGGGAUAGCCCAGAGAAAUUUGGAUUAAUACCCCAUAGUGUUAUGAUGUGGCAUCGCAUUAUAACUAAAGUUCCAACGGUACAAGAUGAGCAUGCGUCCCAUUAGCUAGUUGGUGUGGUAACGGCAUACCAAGGCAAUGAUGGGUAGGGGUCCUGAGAGGGAGAUCCCCCACACUGGUACUGAGACACGGACCAGACUCCUACGGGAGGCAGCAGUGAGGAAUAUUGGUCAAUGGGCGCAAGCCUGAACCAGCCAUGCCGCGUGCAGGAUGACGGUCCUAUGGAUUGAAACUGCUUUUGUACGGGAAGAAACACUCCUACGUGUAGGAGCUUGACGGUACCGUAAGAAUAAGGAUCGGCUAACUCCGUGCCAGCA